rnacentral:rRNA from 1 species
AAUCCAUAGGUUAAUGAGGCGAACCGGGGGAACUGAAACAUCUAAGUACCCCGAGGAAAAGAAAUCAACCGAGAUUCCCCCAGUAGCGGCGAGCGAACGGGGAGGAGCCCAGAGCCUGAAUCAGCAUGUGUGUUAGUGGAAGCGUCUGGAAAGGCGCGCGAUACAGGGUGACAGCCCCGUACACAAAAGCGCAUGUGCUGUGAGCUCGAUGAGUAGGGCGGGACACGUGGUAUCCUGUCUGAAUAUGGGGGGACCAUCCUCCAAGGCUAAAUACUCCUGACUGACCGAUAGUGAACCAGUACCGUGAGGGAAAGGCGAAAAGAACCCCGGCGAGGGGAGUGAAAAAGAACCUGAAACCGUGUACGUACAAGCAGUGGGAGCACAGGUUUACCUGUGUGACUGCGUACCUUUUGUAUAAUGGGUCAGCGACUUAUAUUCUGUAGCAAGGUUAACCGAAUAGGGGAGCCGUAGGGAAACCGAGUCUUAACCGGGCGUUAAGUUGCAGGGUAUAGACCCGAAACCCGGUGAUCUAGCCAUGGGCAGGUUGAAGGUUGGGUAACACUAACUGGAGGACCGAACCGACUAAUGUUGAAAAAUUAGC